rnacentral:rRNA from 1 species
UACGUAGGGGGCGAGCGUUGUCCGGAAUCAUUGGGCGUAAAGCGCGUGUAGGCGGCUCGGUAAGUCCGGUGUGAAACCUUGGGGCUCAACCCCAAGCCUGCACUGGAUACUGUCGAGCUCGAGUCCGGGAGGGGAGAGCGGAAUUCCUAGUGUAGCGGUGAAAUGCGCAGAUAUUAGGAAGAACACCGAUGGCGAAGGCAGUUCUCUGGGACGGUACUGACGCUGAGACGCGAAAGCGGGGGGAGCGAACAGG